rnacentral:rRNA from 1 species
AGCGUAGGCGGACUUUUAAGUGAGAUGUGAAAUACCCGGGCUCAACCUGGGUGCUGCAUUUCAAACUGGAAGUCUAGAGUGCAGGAGAGGAGAGUGGAAUUCCUAGUGUAGCGGUGAAAUGCGUAGAGAUUAGGAAGAACACCAGUGGCGAAGGCGACUCUCUGGACUGUAACUGACGCUGAGGCUGAAAGCGUGGGGAGCAAACA